rnacentral:rRNA from 1 species
AUUGAACGCUGGCGGUAUGCUUAACACAUGCAAGUCGAACGAGUGGCGGACGGGUGAGUAAUGUAUGGGGAUCUGCCUGAUGGCGGGGGAUAACUACUGGAAACGGUAGCUAAUACCGCAUACCAUCAGAUGAACCCAUAUGGGAUUAGCUUGUAGGUGAGGUAACGGCUCACCAAGCCGACGAUCUCUAGCUGGUCUGAGAGGAUGACCAGCCACACUGGGACUGAGACACGGCCCAGACUCCUACGGGAGGCAGCAGUGGGGAAUAUUGCGCAAGGGGGGCAACCCUGACGCAGCCAUGCCGCGUGAAUGAAGAAGGCCUUCGGGUUGUAAAGUUCUUUCGGUAGCGAGGCGUUAACUACAGAAGAAGCACCGGCUAACUCCGUGCCAGCAGCCGCGGUAAUAC